GACGAACGCUGGCGGCGUGCUUAAAAAAUGAAAGUCGAACGGAAAGGCCCUGCUUUUGGGGGGUGCGCGAGUGGCGAACGGGUGAGUAACACGUGAGUAACCUGCCCUUGACUUUGGGAUAACUUCAGGAAACUGGGGCUAAUACCGGAGAGGAGCUCCUGCUGCAUGGUGGGGGUUGGAAAGUUUCGGCGGUUGGGGAUGGACUCGCGGCUUAUCAGCUUGUUGGUGGGGUAGUGGCUUACCAAGGCUUUGACGGUGAGCCGGCCUGAGAGGGUGACCGGCCACAUUGGGACUGAGAUACGGCCCAGACUCCUACGGGAGGCAGCAGUGGGGAAUAUUGCACAAUGGGCGGAAGCCUGAUGCAGCAACGCCGCGUGCGGGAUCCCGGCCUUCGUGUUGUAAACCUCUUUCGCCUGUGACGAAGCGUGAGUGACGGUAAUGGGUAAAGAAGCACCGGCUCCCUACGUC
rnacentral:rRNA from 1 species